UAGGGAAUCUUCGGCAAUGGACGAAAGUCUGACCGAGCAAAGCCGCGUGAGGGAAGAAGGGUUUCGGAACGUAAAACGCUGGUGUGAGAGAAGAACAAGGACGUUAGUAACUGAACGUCCCCUGAAGGGAGCUAACCAGAAAGCCACGGCUAACUACGUGCCAGCAGCCGCGGUAAUACGAAGGUGGCAAGCGGUGUCCGGAUUUAUUGGGCGUAAAGCGAGCGCAGGCGGGUUCUUAAGUCUGAUGUGAAAGCCCCCGGCUCAACCGGGGAGGGUCAUUGGAAACUGGGAGACUUGAGUGCAGAAGAGGAGAGUGGAAUUCCAUGUGUAGCGGUUAAUUGCGUAGAUAUAUGGAGGAACACCAGUGGCGAAGGCGGCUCUCUGGUCUGUACCUGACGCUGAGGCUCGAAAGCGUGGGGCGCAAACAGG
rnacentral:rRNA from 1 species